CCACAAAGUGCUAAAGUCAGUUGUGAAUUUUAUUAAAAAUAAGCACUAUGCCUGGGUUUCAUAAAAUUUAUACAUGAAUAUGUACAGACACAAAUAAAAUAAUAUUAAAAAUAAAAAUCACGCUUGCUUUCACGUGGCAGUGGUCCUGGCACCCCACAUACAUAAUGCUAACUUUUCCUUUAAAGAAAUUGCUUGGCCCAAGGAGACCACAGUUAGAGAUCACCGAACCACUAAUAAAGCUGUAGCCCGUUGCCUGCAACAUUUUCAACUCAGGUCUCAAAAAUAUAUAAAUAAUUUAAUUACAAAACCCAACUUUUUUUUUUUUUUAUCUUUUGGCACAGUGAAGCAUUGGUCAAUAGCAGAGAAAUGACUGAAGAUUCUCUGACACCUCUCUCACACUCAGUCAUGCCUGUAAAUGCCACAUACUUACAUGGAGCGAGGGCCAUUAAACCCGGAACAGUAGUCAUAUCAUUUAUCAUAUGGAAUGUUUCCCUGAUUUUUUUUUAAGGGACAAGUCAAUGGAGGGUGCGACAAAAAUAGGAGUAAGGGGGAGUAAGAAGAUAGGCAAAGUCUUUGUGAAGUGAGGGAGGGACAGGCUUGGUCAAGAACCUAAAGCAAUUAUGGAGAAUUGGUUUGGUCUUCUGUAAAGUCACAAAAGAAAAACGAAAAUAUUCUGAAUUAAAUUAAAACACUCUGUCAAAAAUACUUUAGCUUUAAGGCACGUUUGAUGGAGAUUUUUUUUUAACGUCUUUUUUUGUCUGGCUAGAAAAUGCAAAGCCCUGGCCUGCGUUUCCUGCCUCCCCGACGGCGCCCACCCUUGCCUGGCUCCGCGGCGCUGCUCAGGCCAGGAGCGUCUCCACUGGGUAAGGCAGGUGCGGGCCGGGGCCACAGGACGAGGACGCCUGCAGGGCCGCGGGCAGCCGCAGGGGGCAGUACAGGUGCGAGCCGCCGCCGGCCGCCGGGCCUCGAAAUGGCUUGGUUGGGGCCGAGGCGGAGAGGGGCGCGAGCAGGAGAUUCUGAACACUUGGGAAGAAUCCUGCAGAGAUUCAAGGUGGGCGUGAGAGGAUGGAUAAAACCUAGAAGUGUUUCUUCAUUCCUUAGUCUAUGA
rnacentral:lncRNA from 1 species